GAUCACUCCGGAGGUUUAAAUAAGCUCUGUUUCUGAUCACUCCGUUGGUUUAAAUAAGCUGUUUCUGAUCACUCCGGAGGUUUAAAUAAGCUGUUUCUGAUCACUCUGGAGGUUUAAAUAAGCUGUUUCCGAUCACUCUGGAGGUUCAAAUAAGCUCUGUUUCUGAUCACUCCGUUGGUUUAAAUAAGCUCUGUUUCCGAUCACUCUGGAGGUUUAAAUAAGCUCUGUUUCUGAUCACUCCGGAGGUUUAAAUAAGCUGUUUCUGAUCACUCUGGAGGUUUAAAUAAGCUGUUUCUGAUCACUCUGGAGGUUUAAAUAAGCUGUUUCUGAUCACUCCGGAGGUUUAAAUAAGCUGUUUCUGAUCACUCCGGAGGUUUAAAUAAGCUGUUUCUGAUCACUCUGGAGGUUUAAAUAAGCUCUGUUUCUGAUCACUCUGGAGGUUUAAAUAAGCUGUUUCUGAUCACUCCGGAGGUU
ensembl:lncRNA